AUUGAACGCUGGCGGCAGGCCUAACACAUGCAAGUCGAACGAGUGGCGGACGGGUGAGUAAUGUCUGGGAAACUGCCUGAUGGAGGGGGCUAACUACUGGAAACGGUAGCUAAUACCGCAUACCAUCAGAUGUGCCCAGAUGGGAUGAGCUUGUUGGUGGGGUAACGGCUAACAAAGGCGACGAUCCCUAUCUGGUCUGAGAGGAUGACCAGCCACACUGGAACUGAUACACGGUCCAGACUCCUACGUGAGGCAGCAGUGGGGAAUAUUGCACAAUGGGCGCAAGCCGGAUGCAGCCAUGCCGCGUGUAUGAAGAAGGCCUUCGGGUUGUAAAGUACUUUCAGCGGGGAGGCGUUACCCGCAGAAGAAGCACCGGCUAACUCCGUGCCAGCAGCCGCGGUAAUUC
rnacentral:rRNA from 1 species